GUAAAAAAAGAAGGGCAGCAUAUUAUGUAUAAAAAGGGAAAAGAGGGCAAACAUCAACUUCUUCUUCUUCUUCUUCUUCUUUAUCUU
rnacentral:ribozyme from 1 species